GUGCAUACCUAGUGUUAAGUAUGAAAGGACGAUCAGAAUUGUGACAGGAGUCAAAUGGAGUUAGCUACCAAGGUUUGCAAUCGUUUUAAAUUAUGAGCUAGAGGAAGUACUAUUUAUGGAUGAGUUUCAAUAGAUGAAAUUGUUUCUAAUGGGAAAAGUUGAGGCUGAAGUUUGGAAAGUUAUAGGCAGUAUAUGUGAUUAUAUUAAGG
rnacentral:misc_RNA from 1 species